UACGAAGGGUGCAAACGUUGCUCGGAAUUAUUGGGCGUAAAGGGCUCGUAGGCGGCCAACUAAGUCGGAUGUGAAAUCCCCAGGCUUAACCUGGGAACUGCAUCCGAUACUGGAUGGCUUGAAUUCGGGAGAGGGAUGCAGAAUUCCAGGUGUAGCGGUGAAAUGCGUAGAUAUCUGGAGGAAUACCGGUGGCGAAGGCGGCAUCCUGGACCGGCAUUGACGCUGAGGAGCGAAAGCUAGGGGAGCAAACGGG
rnacentral:rRNA from 1 species